rnacentral:Y_RNA from 1 species
GGUUAGUCCAAAGGUAAUGAGUUAUCUCAAUAGAUUGUUUACAGUGACAGAUCCAACUUCUUCAUUCUUCUCUCUCUCCUCUUCUUUCUACUGUCCUUGACCAGUCUUAA